UGAAGUAAGUAAGGGCGUACGGUGAAUGCCUUGGUGCCAACAGGCGAAGAAGGACGCGGCAAGCUGCGAAAAGCCUCGGGAAGCUGCAAGCAAGCGAUGAUCCGGGGAUAUCCGAAUGGGGUAACCUGAUCGAGGCAAUACUCGAUCGUUCAUACCUGAAUACAUAGGGUAUGAAACGCGAAACCCGCUGAAGUGAAACAUCUCAGUAAGCGGAGGAAAAGAAAGAGAAAUCGAUUCCGUAAGUAGUGGCGAGCGAAAGCGGAUGGAGCCCAAACCGAAGGUAUUCCUUCGGGGUUGUAGGACCACGUCAUAUUCGACCAUACUGGAUAGUAGAACAGCCUGGAAAGGCUGGCCGGAGAAGGUGAAAGCCCUGUAGACGAAAUCCAGAGUGGGAAUUAGUGGUAUCCUGAGUAAUACAUCACACGUGGAACGAUGUAUGAACCCGCGCGGACCACCGCGCAAGGCUAAAUACUAGUUGGCGACCGAUAGUGAACAAGUACCGCGAGGGAAAGGUGAAAAGAACCGCUGUGAGCGGAGUGAAAUAGAACCUGAAACCGUAUGUCUACAAAGUGUCAGAGCAGAGCAAUCUGCGAUGGCGUGCCUUUUGUUUAAUGAGUCUGCGAGUCAGUGUUUGUGGCAAGACUAAGGGCUUCCGGCCCGGAGUCGCAGCGAAAGCAAGUCCGAACAGGGCGCAAUAAGUCGCAGGUACUGGACCCGAAGCGGAGGUGACCUACCCUUGGCCAGGUUGAAGCAUGGGUAAAACCAUGUGGAGGACCGAACAGGUGAACGUUGAAAAGUUCUCUGAUGAGCUGAGGGUAGGAGUGAAAGGCUAAUCAAACCCCGUGAUAGCUGGUUCUCUUCGAAAUGCAUUUAGGUGCAGCGUCACGUGCUGAUGCGCGGGGGUAGAGCACUGACAAGGCUAGGGGGCACACCCGCUUACCAAACCUUAUCAAACUCCGAAUACCGUGCAAUGGAACGUGGCAGUGAGACAGUGGGGGAUAAGCUUCAUUGUCGAGAGGGAAACAACCCAGACCAGCAGCUAAGGUGCCUAAAUAACGCUCAGUGGAAAGGAUGUGGGAUUACACAGACAGUGAGGAUGUUGGCUUAGAAGCAGCCACCAUUUAAAAAAUGCGUAAUAGCUUACUCAUCGAGUGAUCCUGCGCCGAAAAUGAUUGGCGAUCAAGCGUUAUACCGAAGCUCUGGACUUUGCCGCAAGGCAGAGUGGUAGAAGAGCGUUGCAUGCGCGUCGAAGGGCGAUGGCGACUGACCCUGGAGCACAUGCAAGUGAGUAUGCAGACAUGAGUAACGUUAAGCCGGGUGAAAUCCCCGGCCGCCGUAAACCCGAGGUUUCCAGGGCAACGUGUUUCGUCCCUGGGUUAGCCGGGACCUAAGCCGAGGCCGAGAGGCGUAGGCGAUGGACAUCAGGUUAAUAAUCCUGAGCUCGCAACCCUUAAACUGGGGGGACGCAUGAGAAAAGAUGACUAGGUUAUUGAAUUCCGAGUUGAGUCUACGGACUCAGCGCAUCAUUGGAUCGAGUGCCAAGAAAAGCCCCAGCGUAUGCUAAGCGACCCGUACCGCAAACCGACACAGGUGGGUGGGUAGAAUAUACCAAGGCGUAAGAGUGAAACCUGGUUAAGGAACUCGGCAAAUUAGCCCCGUAACUUCGGAAGAAGGGGUGCCUGCAGCGAUGCAGGCCGCAGAGAAAUGGCCCAACCGACUGUUUAUCAAAAACACAGCACUCUGCAAAGACGCAAGUCGAAGUAUAGGGUGUGACACGUGACCAAUGCCGAAAGAUUAAGGCAAGGGGUUAGCCGCAAGGCGAAGCUCUAAACCCAAGUCCCGGUGAAUGUCGGCCGUAACUAUAACGGUCCUAAGGUAGCGAAAUUCCUUGUCGGGUAAGUUCCGACCUGCACGAAUCGUGAAACGAGUUGGGCACUGUCUCAACCAGGCGCUCAGUGAAAUUGUAGUGGCGGUGAAGAUGCCGCCUACCCGCAGAAGGACGGAAAGACCCUAUAGACCUUAACUGUAAGCUGUCAUUGUUUCUUCGGUUUUAAUGCUCAGAGUAAGUGGGAGACGCUGAAGACGCCCUUUAGGGGGCGUCCGAGUCAUCAAUGAGACACCACCCUUUGAAACUGGAGGAUCUAACCCUGAGCCGUGAAUCCGGCCAGAGGACCGUGUCAGCCGGUCAGUUUUACUGGGGCGGUAUCCUCCCAAAGAGUAACGGAGGAGCGCGAAGGUGGGCUCAGCCCGGUUGGCAACCGGGUGUCGAGUGCAUGGGCAUAAGCCCGCCUAACUGUGAGACCAACAAGUCGAGCAGAUGCGAAAGCAGGCCCAAGUGAUCCGGCGGUAGAAAGUGGAAUUGCCGUCGCUCAACGGAUAAAAGGUACCUUAGGGAUAACAGGCUGAUCACGCCCAAGAGUUCAUAUCGACGGCGUGGUUUGGCACCUCGAUGUCGGCUCGUCGCAUCCUGGGGCUGGAGAAGGUCCCAAGGGUCCGGCUGUUCGCCGGUUAAAGCGGCACGCGAGCUGGGUUCAGAACGUCGCGAGACAGUUCGGUCCUCUAUCCUCUGUGGGCGUUGGAAAAUUGAGGGGUUCAGACCUUAGUACGAGAGGACCGGGUCUGACGCACCACUGGUGCAUCGGUUGUACUGUCAAGUGCAUGGCCGAGUAGCUAAGUGCGGACGGGAUAAGCGCUGAAAGCAUCUAAGCGCCAAGCCCUUCCCAAGAUGAGUUUUCCCUACAGGUUCGUGGAAGACCACCACGUUGAUAGGUCGCAGGUGUAAGUGCAGCAAUGUAUUGAGCCGAGCGAUACUAAUUACCAAUUGACUUCAUCAU
rnacentral:rRNA from 3 species